ACAACACUGAUGAAAAACAAUUUAAAGCCUCUAAAUAUGGAAAAGCAUCUGGUCACAUGAACAACUCAGAGCAACAAACGGGGAGGAAAGCAAGAAGAAAACCAUUUAGCUGUUCAGAUGGGAGUAAAGGACAGAAACAGAAGUGCACUCUGAACAAACACAUUAGAAUUCAGACAGGACAAAAAGCAUUUGUCUGUUCUGAGUGUGGUCGAAGAUUUGGAUUAAAGGGCCACCUGAAAAGACACAUGAUAAUUCAUACAGGACAAAAAGCAUUUGUCUGUUCUGAGUGUGGUCAAAGAUUUUGACUAAAGGGCCACCUGCAAACACACAUGAUAAUUCAUACAGGUCAAACUUUAGACCCCCAGGAGGGUGCAACUUUAGACCCCAGGUUUGGGGCCCAUUGCAUUCUACUAAAAAGACAUCAAAGAUAAAUGAAAAACCAAAAGUCAAAAAGAAUUUGUCUGUUCCAAGUGUGGUCGAAGAUUUGGACUAAAGAGCAACCUGAACAAACACAUGAUAAUUCAUACAGAGCU